UCAAGCUACAAAGAGCACAAGGGGAAUGCCUUGGCACCGAGAGCCGAAGAAGGACGUGACUAACUGCGAUAAGCUGCGGGGAGCCGUAAGUAGGCUUUGAUCCGCAGAUUUCCGAAUGGAGCAAUCCGGCAAGAGGAAAGUCUUGUCAUCAUAUACUGAAUACAUAGGUAUAUGAGGGGAACCGCCUGAACUGAAACAUCUAAGUAGGGCGAGGAAGAGAAAUCAACUGAGAUUCCGUAAGUAGUGGCGAGCGAACGCGGAAGAGGCCAAACCGAGAGUAGUAAUACUUUCGGGGUUCGGACAGAAAACGGUAUUGUAAAGGUUUAGUGGAAUGGAAUGGGAAGUCCAACCGAAGAAGGUGAGAGUCCUGUACACGAAAAGCCUGAACAGCCAUCUGUAUCCAGAGUACCGCCGGACACGUGAAACCCGGUGGGAAUACGGGGGGACCAUCCUCCAAGCCUAAAUACUACUCGGUGACCGAUAGUGAAGAAGUACUGUGAAGGAAAGGUGAAAAGUACCCCUGACGGGGAGUGAAAAAGAACCUGAAACCUUGUGUUUACAAGCACCGAAAGCUCAUCAAAGAGCGAUCGGGUACCUUUUGUAGAAUGGUCCGGCGAGUGAAUGUAACCGGCGAGGUUAAGCACUUAAGGUGUGAAGCCGCAGCGAGAGCAAGUCUGAAUAGGGCGUAUGAAGUCGGUUGUAUUCGACCCGAAACCGGGUGACCUACCCAUGGUCAGGUUGAAGUAAAGGUAAAACUUUAUGGAGGACCGAACCGACUCCCGUUGAAAUGGUAGCGGAUGAACUGUGGGUAGCGGAGAAAUUCCAAUCGAACCCGGAGAUAGCUGGUUCUCUCCGAAAUAGCUUUAGGGCUAGCCUUGAAAUAGAUUACCGGAGGUAAAGCACUGAAUUGGCUAGGGGCCGAGAGGUUACUGAACCUUAUCAAACUAAGAAUGCCGGAUAAUCGUUUUUCAGGAGUCAGACAGUGGGAGAUAAGUUUCAUUGUCAAAAGGGAAACAGCCCAGACCCACAGCUAAGGUCCCCAAGUAUAGUUAAGUGGAAAAGGAUGUGGAAUUGCACAGACAACCAGGAUGUUGGCUUAGAAGCAGCCACUCAUUAAAAGAGUGCGUAAUAGCUCACUGGUCGAGUGACUCUGCGCCGAAAAUUUAACGGGGCUAAACUAUACACCGAAGCUUGGGAUACAUCUAAUGUAUGGUAGGAGAGCGUUCUGUAUGGGGAGAAGUCGUAGCGAAAGCGGCGGUGGACUAUACAGAAGUGAGAAUGCCGGAAUAAGUAGCGAGAAUUAAGUGAGAAUCUUAAUGGCCGAAAGUCUAAGGUUUUUGGAGGAAGGUUCGUCCGCUCCAAGUAAGUCGGGAGCUAAGGUCAGGCCGAAAGGCGUAGCCGAUGCACAUACGGUUGAUAUUCCGUAACCAUCUGUAAUUUAAGCAAAGGGACACUUCAAAAGGGUGUGACCCGGGCGUUGGUUGACCCGGGCGUAAGGGACCGAAAUUAGAGUAGGGAAGCACACUUAGCUGAAGGCGAGAAAAGCUUUGCGUAUAGAAACAGAUGCCCGUACCGCAAACCGACACAGGUGGACAGGAAGAGAAUUCUAAGGCCAGCGGGAGAAGGGUAGUUAAGGAACUCGGCAAAUUGACUCCGUAACUUCGGAAUAAGGAGUGCUCGAAAGAGCCGCAGAGAAUAGGCCCAGGCGACUGUUUAGCAAAAACACAGGUCUCUGCCAAAUCGAAAGAUGAAGUAUAGGGGCUGACACCUGCCCGGUGCCGGAAGGUUAAGAGGAGGAGUGAGAGCUCCGAAUUGAAGCCCCGGUAAACGGCGGCCGUAACUAUAACGGUCCUAAGGUAGCGAAAUUCCUUGUCGGGUAAGUUCCGACCUG
rnacentral:rRNA from 1 species